rnacentral:lncRNA from 1 species
AACUGUUUCAAGUUAUUUUCAAAUGUAAUCAAAUCAAAUCACGUAUUCAAACGCUUGUCACAGAGUAUCAUUCCUGAAAGUUGUAAGCAGCAUCACGUUUAUCCACAUAUGCAAAGAAACUUCUUUCAAAACUUGUCUCGCCAGAUUGAUGUCAGUUCUCCUGCUUGACAGAGUAGAGUCUUGUUUCUACCAGCCAUCCCAAGCUCCACUGCCUACACCCCUGCUUCAAGAUGCAAAGUUUUUUUCUUAAGAACAUACCAUACAUGCAUUCAACAAACAAAACGACAUAUAAAUAAAUAAAGCUCAGUGGAAGUGCUCUGCAUAUUUAUUUGUUUUCAUUUGCAAAAGAAAGGUAGCAUCCACGCACAUUGCAGCCAAGAGCAUCUUCAAAGUUACUUAUUAUGAAAAUCCAAAUACGUUUGAUCAUCUAGAGAAGAAUUAAACAGCUUUCAUUGUUCAACUCUGAAAUGAGCAUAAACAAAAUAAGUUGUUCUGCCCUUGAUGAGCAAACAUUGUAUGAGCAAACAUCUGGUGGAAAGCCAUCCUCUUCCAUUUUUCUGAAAUCUUUGCAUGCUUCAUCUAUCAAAUCUUCUCAUUGCUCUGGAGAAAUCCUCAGCUAAUAACAUUGUAUGAGCAAAACAUCUGGAGGACAGCCAUCCUCUUCCAUUUUUCUGAAAGCUUUGCAUGCUUCAUCUAUCAAAUCUUCUCGUUGUUCUGGAGAAAUCCUCAGACAAUAACAUUGCAUGGGCAAACGUCUGGUGGACAGCCAUCCUCUUCCAUUUUUCUAAAAGCUUCGCAUGCUUCAUCCAUCAAAUCUUCUCAUUGUUCUAGAGAAAUCCUCAGACAAUAACAUUGUAUGGGCAAACAUCUGGAGGACAGCCAUCCUCUUCCAUUUUUCUGAAAGCUUUGCAUGCUUCAUCUAUCAAAUCUUCUCGUUGUUCUGGAGAAAUACUCAGAUUAUAACAUUGUACGGGCAAACAUCUGGUGGACAGCCAUCCUCUUCCAUUUUUCUGAAAGCUUCGCAUGCUUCAUCUAUCAAAUCUUCUCGUUGUUCUGGAGAAAUCCUCAGACAAUAACAUUGCAUGGGCAAACAUCUGGUGGACAGCCAUCCUCUUCCAUUUUUCUGAAAGCUUUGCAUGCUUCAUCUAUCAAAUCUUCUCGUUGUUCUGGAGAAAUCCUCAGACAAUAACAUUGCAUGGGCAAACAUCUGGUGGACAGCCAUCCUCUUCCAUUUUUCUGAAAGCUUCGCAUGCUUCAUCUAUCAAAUCUUCUCGUUGUUCUGGAGAAAUCCUCAGACAAUAACAUUGUAUGGGCAAACAUCUGGUGGACAGCCAUCCUCCCAUUUUUCUGAAAGCUUUGUAUGCUUCAUCUAUCAAAUCUUCUCGUUGUUCUGGAGAAAUCCUCAGAUUAUAACAUUGUACGGGCAAACAUCUGGUGGACAGCCAUCCUCUUCCAUUUUUCUGAAAGCUUCACAUGUUUCAUCUAUCAAAUCUUCUCGUUGUUCUGGAGAAAUCCUCAGACAAUAACAUUGUAUGGGCAAACAUCUGGUGGACAACCAUCCUCCCAUUUUUCUGAAAGCUUUGCAUGCUUCAUCUAUCAAAUCUUCUCGUUGUUCUGGAGAAAUCCUCAGAUUAUAACAUUGUACGGGCAAACAUCUGGUGGACAGCCAUCCUCUUCCAUUUUUCUGAAAGCUUCGCAUGCUUCAUCUAUCAAAUCUUCUCGUUGUUCUGGAGAAAUCCUCAGACAAUAACAUUGCAUGGGCAAACAUCUGGUGGACAGCCAUCCUCUUCCAUUUUUCUGAAAGCUUUGCAUGCUUCAUCUAUCAAAUCUUCUCGUUGUUCUGGAGAAAUCCUCAGACAAUAACAUUGCAUGGGCAAACAUCUGGUGGACAGCCAUCCUCUUCCAUUUUUCUGAAAGCUUCGCAUGCUUCAUCUAUCAAAUCUUCUCGUUGUUCUGGAGAAAUCCUCAGACAAUAACAUUGUAUGGGCAAACAUCUGGUGGACAGCCAUCCUCCCAUUUUUCUGAAAGCUUUGUAUGCUUCAUCUAUCAAAUCUUCUCGUUGUUCUGGAGAAAUCCUCAGAUUAUAACAUUGUACGGGCAAACAUCUGGUGGACAGCCAUCCUCUUCCAUUUUUCUGAAAGCUUCACAUGUUUCAUCUAUCAAAUCUUCUCGUUGUUCUGGAGAAAUCCUCAGACAAUAACAUUGUAUGGGCAAACAUCUGGUGGACAACCAUCCUCCCAUUUUUCUGAAAGCUUUGCAUGCUUCAUCUAUCAAAUCUUCUCGUUGUUCUGGAGAAAUCCUCAGAUUAUAACAUUGUACGGGCAAACAUCUGGUGGACAGCCAUCCUCUUCCAUUUUUCUGAAAGCUUCGCAUGCUUCAUCUAUCAAAUCUUCUCGUUGUUCUGGAGAAAUCCUCAGACAAUAACAUUGUAUGGGCAAACAUCUGGUGGACAACCAUCCUCCCAUUUUUCUGAAAGCUUUGCAUGCUUCAUCUAUGAAAUCUUCUCGUUGUUCUGGAGAAAUCCUCAGCCAAUAACAUUGUACGCGCAAACAUCUGGUGGACAGCCAUCCUCUUCCAUUUUUCUGAAAGCUUCACAUGCUUCAUCUAUCAAAUCUUCUCGUUGUUCUGGAGAAAUCCUCAGACAAUAACAUUGUAUGAGCAAACAUCUGGUGGACAGCUAUCCUCUUCCAUUUUUCUGAAAGCUUUGUAUGCUUCAUCUAUCAAAUCUUCUCUGCAAAGUCCAUUUAUUAUUACAGUAGAUACCCUAGCAUCAGGUUGCAAUCCAUUGAAUGUGCAUUCCAUAAACAGUUCCCUUGCAGUUUUAAGAUUCCCGGAUUUGUACAUGGCACGAAUCAGGAUAUCAUAGGUUACCAGAUUAGGUUUCAAGCUACUAUCUUGCAUUGCUCUAAACAAUCUCAAUGCAUUAUCAAGAUACCCUAGUUUGCAUAAGCUGUCGAGCAAAAUUGUGCAAGUUACUAAAUCUGGGGAGCAGCCCUGAGCUUGCAUAUCCUUGAAAAGCUCUUUUGCUUCACAAUGUCUCCCUGCUUGGCACAAGCCACUAAUAAGAGUGUUGUAAUUAAAAGUGUUAGGAAUUAAGCCUCGAAAACUCAUUUCAUCGAAAAGUUCUCUUGCCUCAUCUAUCCUCUGGCCCUUACAAUAUCCAUUGAUUAAGAUGUUGUAACUAACAACAUUAGGCAUGCAGCCCUUGGUUAUCAUUGCAUCGAAUACCAUUCUAGCUUCAAAAACUUUGUUUUGCAAACAAUAGCCGUUCAUCAACGAAUUAUAAGUCGCAUAAUUAGGCUCCACACCCUUUUCAAUCAUUAUUUUGAUUAUUCCUUGAGCCUCUGAAAGCAUGCCUUCUUUACAAAGUUUAUCAACCAAAAUAUUGAAGGUAACUACAUCUGGCAUGAUGUUCAUACUCAUCAUUUCAUUGAACAAUGCUGAAGCCUCUUCCUUCUGGUCUGAGUUGCAUAGACCAUGCAUUAAGAUACUAUAAGUGAAAACAUCAGGCUGAACGCCUUUACCCUUUAUCUCAGAGAAGAUAUCUAAAGCUUCAUUCACUAGUCUAUCCUUGCAAAGGCCAUCAAUAAUUGUAUUGUAGAUUACAAUAUCUGGUCGGCCACCCGCCUUGUCCAUUUUCUUGAGCAAUCCAACAGCGACAGUGGUUUUCCCAAUCUUGCAAAAACCUUUUAUAAUCGUAUUAUAAGUAUGUAGAUUGGGUUGAUAUCCGCUCGCCACCAUCUCAUCAAAGAAUUCCAUAGCACGAGCAAAUUUAUCCUCAAAACAAAGCCCAUUAAUUAAACUAGAAAAAGUCACAGCAUCAGGUUCAAAACCAAGCUUAAUGAUUUUUCCCAAGACAGAGAACGCAAAAUCGACACGUCGCAAGCGAGAGAAGCAAUUGAUCAAAAUGUUAAAAUGAAAGACAUCACGUUCAAUCCGCAGCAACUCAAUUCGUUUGGACAAAGAAAGCACAGUCCCAUAAUGUUUGAUUCUAACAAGAGCUGAUAAUAACUUAUCAAAUUCAACAAUACAAGGCAGGGGAUGCUUAUGAAUCAUGUGGUUGAAAGAAAACAAGGCAUCUUCAAUGUUUGUAAAAGAACAUGCCUUUUGGUACUUUUGCCUACCACUACGACUACGACUAAAAGUGGAAGUAUGAAGACAGCAAAUCAUACCCAUUUCAGUUUGGCUUCGCUGAGAAUGAAACCCUAAAAGGUUCGAAGCUGAAGAAGAAAUGGCCAUUACAGCACUUUGCCGCUUCAUUGCCAUGGCCAUCACUUGAAGUAGGAGAGAAGAAUGCCAGAGGAGGGGGAAGAAAGGGAAACAUGGCUUAACCUAGAAUGAAACGGUAACGCUUCAGCUUAAAUUCUUUGUUCUCCCGGGACAAAACGACGUCGUUUCUUACAACUCAUUUUUUGUUCUUUU